GAUGAACGCUGGCGGCGUGCCUAAUACACGCAAGUCGAGCGAACAGACGAGGAGCUUGCUCCUCUGACGUUAGCGGCGGACGGGUGAGUAACACGUGGAUAACCUACCUAUAAGACUGGGAUAACUUCGGGAAACCGGAGCUAAUACCGGAUAAUAUAUUGAACCGCAUGGUUCAAUAGUGAAAGACGGUUUUGCUGUCACUUAUAGAUGGAUCCGCGCCGCAUUAGCUAGUUGGUAAGGUAACGGCUUACCAAGGCGACGAUGCGUAGCCGACCUGAGAGGGUGAUCGGCCACACUGGAACUGAGACACGGUCCAGACUCCUACGGGAGGCAGCAGUAGGGAAUCUUCCGCAAUGGGCGAAAGCCUGACGGAGCAACGCCGCGUGAGUGAUGAAGGUCUUCGGAUCGUAAAACUCUGUUAUUAGGGAAGAACAAAUGUGUAAGUAACUAUGCACGUCUGGACGGUACCUAAUCAGAAAGCCACGGCUAACUACGU
rnacentral:rRNA from 1 species